GUGGUGAUGGAUCUUUGGAUCUAAUGUCUCUUGUUAUUGCUAAUAUUUUCAUUGUGAUCUCAUUAUAGAGUAAUAGAGGUUUCUUUUUAUUAUAAAAAAUUAAAAGACUUGAUAGAUGCCACUUAGACAUUUGACGAAAAAAAUUUAGCCAAAUUCACAAGUUGGAAAAAAAAAUUAUUAAAUAGUGAGAGAAGAAUCAAAUUAG
rnacentral:lncRNA from 1 species